UAUUGUGAUGUUUUUAUCAGCUGUUUGGACUCGCAUUCUGAUGGCACCCAUUCACUGCAAAGCAUCCAUUGCUGAUACACUGAUGCACUGCUACAUUUCUACAAACCUGAUGAAGAAACAAACUCAACUUGGAUGGCCUGACGAUGCUGAGACAAACACCUUUGGAAUGCCUCUGGGGCUGAUGAGAUCCCAAACGGAGGCCGUGAAAGCUGUACCUCCCUAAGGGGCCACUGGAACUUUCCUGGGAGGAUGAAUCACUGGCUUUGUCCAAAUGUGAUGGACUCCCGUUACACAACCCAG